rnacentral:rRNA from 1 species
UACGUAGGGUGCGAGCGUUAAUCGGAAUUACUGGGCGUAAAGCGUGCGCAGGCGGUUAUGUAAGACAGAUGUGAAAUCCCCGGGCUCAACCUGGGAACUGCAUUAGUGACUGCAUAGCUGGAGUACGGCAGAGGGAGAUGGAAUUCCGCGUGUAGCAGUGAAAUGCGUAGAUAUGCGGAGGAACACCGAUGGCGAAGGCAAUCCCCUGGGCCUGUACUGACGCUCAUGCACGAAAGCGUGGGGAGCAAACAGGAUUAGAUACCCUGGUAGUCC